CCUCUCCUUUUUCUCCUUUUUUGUUAGCGGUUCAAAAUUCGUUAUAUUUCU
rnacentral:tRNA from 1 species